AAACUCGACCCCAUGAAGUUGGAAUUGCUAGUAAUCGCGGGUCAGCUAUACCGCGGUGAAUACGUUCUCAAGUCUUGUACUCACCGCCCGUCAAGUCAAGGAAGUUGGGAGUGCUCGAAGUUCCUCUUAAUGAGGGCCUACGGUAAACUCAAUGACAAGGACUAAGUCGUAACAAGGCACGGGUAGCGGAAGCUGC
rnacentral:rRNA from 1 species